AUGGCGGGCUCGGAGCGCGGCCUCCGCGGGCUCGGCCCGGCGGGCUCCGACAGCGGCGCGGGCUGUCCGUGGCACGGGGCCGGGCUGCGCCGCUCGUCCUCCCGCUGGUCCGGGGUGCGCUGCACCGAGCGGCCCGGCCGGGUCACGGCCCGCGGGCUCGGCCUGCCCCCCGCGCCCCCCGCGCCCCCCGAGCCCCCCGCGCCCCGGGCCGAGGCGGAGGACGAGGAGAGAGUGCCGCUGGCGGAGAUCUCACUGAUGAACAAGCUGAUCCACACAUCCCUGGUGGAGUCCCAGGAGCAUGUGGAGAUCCUGCAGCGGGACCCCAGCUCCCCACUCUUUUCCAUCAAGACCUUUGAGGAGCUGCCCCUGAAGAAGGAGCUCUUGCAGGGGGUUUAUAUGAUGGGCUUCAACAGACCAUCCAAAAUCCAGGAGCAGGCUCUGCCCCUCAUGCUGGCAUACCCGCCCCAAAAUCUGAUUGCCCAGAGCCAGUCAGGGACAGGGAAAACAGCAGCUUUUGUCUUGGCCAUGUUGAGCAGAGCCAGUGCCAACGAGAAAUAUCCACAGUGCCUGUGCCUGGCUCCCACCUACGAGCUGGCGCUGCAGAUCGGGCAGGUGGUGAGGACCAUUGGCAAGUUCUGCACUGACAUCAAGGUGAACUAUGCUGUCCGGGGAAACCGAGUUCUGAAGGGCACAGUGCUGGAGGAGCAGAUCAUCAUCGGAACUCCGGGCACCACACUGGACUGGUGCUUCAAGCAGCGCAUCCUGGACCUGACAAAGAUCUCCCUGUUCGUGCUGGAUGAGGCCGACAUCAUGAUCGACACGCAGGGCCUCUCCUGCCAGAGCAUCCGCAUCCACAGGGCUCUUCCCGAGAGCUGCCAGGUGCUGCUGUUCUCAGCCACUUACAAGGAACCCGUGCGGGCCUUUGCGGAGCGGAUCAUCCCCGACCCCAUUGUGAUCAAGCUGCGCGAGGAGGAGCUCACCCUGAGCAACAUCAGGCAGUACUUCAUGGUGUGCGAGAGCUCUGAUGAGCAGUACAGGGCCCUCUGCAACCUCUACGGCAGCUUCACCAUCGGCCAGGUCAUGAUCUUCUGCCAGGUAAGGCCCCUGCCCGGGAGAGCCCUGCACGGCCCCUCUCCUGUUGGGAAUAGCAGGAAUGGGUCAUUUUACAGUGUGGGCACAGUGGGCUUCUCCCAAGACCCCCAAAACAAAGGAGCAGACCCCAGGGGAGUGUUGAAAACUGCCAUGAGCUCCCUCACAAGGAGCAGGGCACUCUGGAGGGGGAUCUGUUGGCUCAGCCUCUCCCCGCGUGUGCAGACCCGGAGGCUGGCAGACUGGCUGUCGGGGAAGAUGAGCUGGGACGGGCACCAGGUGGCCAUUCUGACAGCAGAGCUGACCGUGGUGCAGCGGGCCAGCGUCAUCCAGCGCUUCCGUGAGGGCAAGGAGAAGGUCCUGAUCGCCACCAACGUCUGUGCCAGAGGCAUCGAUGUGCAGCAGGUCACCACCGUGGUGAACUUCGGCCUCCCCAUGGAUCAGGAUGGCGAGCCGGAUUUUGAGACCUACCUGCACCGCAUCGGGAGGGCGGGGCGCUUCGGGCACCGCGGCAUCGCCUUCAGCGUGGUGCAGAGGGGCGCCGUGGGGCUCGUGCACAAGAUAGAGCAGUAUUUCCCCUCAGAGCCACUCAGCCCUCUUGGUUCCUUUGAAUGUCCACCUGUCCUUGGAACCUGGAGUAAGCCUGAGGCAGACACCAGGCAGAGAAGACACGAGCCACACGUUCUGGCAAAGAUUGUUGCCAUGGAGUAGAAGCAAUGAGCAGCUGGAACAACUGGCAUGUGGAUGAACCCCACCACAGCCAUGGCCAGAAGGAGCCAGUAGACCACGAUCAAGCAGCUGGAUCCACACGACAUGGACGAGCUGGAGAAGCUUGCAGCUGAGUGAGGAGCAGGGAUUCGUUCUGCUAAAUCCAAGUUCUAGUUCUAAACAGGAGGAAAAGUUACAGGGGAAAACUUCCCGGUUCUCUUAUAUCCUCCUGAAGCUGUUGAGUUUUGUUGUGUUGCCUGAGGAGAGGCUGGAGCGAACCUUGUCUCGCUAGAUGGCAGCAGGAAUCCACCGCUGCCUCCCAGAUCCCGGGGCAAUCCCCAAGUGUUUGGGGUCCUGGCAGUGCAGGAGAGAGUUUGGAGCCCCGGGGCUCUGAAAUCCAAGCGUGGGGAUGCCAUCAGUAGGGGAGAGAAGUUGGACCCCAGGGGCCUGAAAUCCAAGUGUUUGGGGUCCCAGCAGUGAGGACAGAAGUCAGACUCCAGGGUCUGGGCUGCGUUUGUGCCCUUGUUAAUCUUUAAUAAAUGGAACUGUUUUUAA